GACGAACGCUGGCGGCGUGCUUAACACAUGCAAGUCGAACGGUAAGGCCCUUCGGGGUACACGAGUGGCGAACGGGUGAGUAACACGUGGGCAACCUGUCCCUCACUUCGGGAUAACUCCGGGAAACCGGGGCUAAUACCGGAUAUGACCUCCUUGGGCAUCCUUGGAGGUGGAAAGUUUUUCGGUGAGGGAUGGGCCCGCGGCCUAUCAGCUUGUUGGUGAGGUAGUGGCUCACCAAGGCGACGACGGGUAGCCGGCCUGAGAGGGCGACCGGCCACACUGGGACUGAGACACGGCCCAGACUCCUACGGGAGGCAGCAGUGGGGAAUAUUGCGCAAUGGGCGAAAGCCUGACGCAGCAACGCCGCGUGCGGGAUGACGGCCUUCGGGUUGUAAACCGCUUUCAGCAGGGAAGAAGCCGCAAGGUGACGGUACCUGCAGAAGAAGCACCGGCUAACUACGUGCCAGCCGCCGCUGUAA
rnacentral:rRNA from 1 species